AUUGAACGCUGGCGGCAUGCUUUACACAUGCAAGUCGAACGGUAACAGGGUGCUUGCACCGCUGACGAGUGGCGAACGGGUGAGUAAUGCGUCGGAACGCACCGAGUAAUGGGGGAUAACGCAGCGAAAGCUGUGCUAAUACCGCAUACGCUCUGAGGAGGAAAGCGGGGGACCUUCGGGCCUCGCGUUAUUCGAGCGGCCGACGUCUGAUUAGCUAGUAGGUGAGGUAAGAGCUCACCUAGGCGACGAUCAGUAGCGGGUCUGAGAGGAUGAGCCGCCACACGGGGACUGAGACACGGGCCAGACUCCUACGGGAGGCAGCAGUGGGGAAUUUUGGACAAUGGGCGCAAGCCUGAUCCAGCCAUGCCGCGUGUCUGAAGAAGGCCUUCGGGUUGUAAAGGACUUUUGUCAGGGAGGAAAUCCUUAGCGCUAAUACCGUUGAGGGAUGACAGUACCUGAAGAAUAAGCACCGGCUAACUACGUGCCAGCAGCCGCAGUAAAAC
rnacentral:rRNA from 1 species